AGUGAACGCUGGCGGUAGGCCUAACACAUGCAAGUCGAACGGCAGCACAGUAAGAGCUUGCUCUUACGGGUGGCGAGUGGCGGACGGGUGAGGAAUACAUCGGAAUCUACUUUUUCGUGGGGGAUAGCGUAGGGAAACUUACGCUAAUACCGCAUACGACCUACGGGUGAAAGCAGGGGAUCUUCGGACCUUGCGCGAUUGAAUGAGCCGAUGUCGGAUUAGCUAGUUGGCGGGGUAAAGGCCCACCAAGGCGACGAUCCGUAGCUGGUCUGAGAGGAUGAUCAGACACACUGGAACUGAGACACGGUCCAGACUCCUACGGGAGGAAGCAGUGGGGAAUAUUGGACAAUGGGCGCAAGCCUGAUCCAGCCAUACCGCGUGGGUGAAGAAGGCCUUCGGGUUGUAAAGCCCUUUUGUUGGGAAAGAAAAGCAGCAGGUUAAUACCCCGCUGUUCUGACGGUACCCAAAGAAUAAGCACCGGCUAACUUCGUG
rnacentral:rRNA from 1 species